GAUGAACGCUGACAGAAUGCUUAACACAUGCAAGUCGAUUCGAUUUACCUUCGGGUAUUGAGGAUGGCGGACGGGUGAGUAACGCGUAAGGAACUUGCCUCUUGGUCUGGGACAACUGUUGGAAACGACAGCUAAUACCGGAUAUUAUGAGAUUCUCGCAUGGGAAACUUAUGAAAGCUAUAUGCGCCAAGAGAGAGCCUUGCGUUCCAUUAGCUAGUUGGUGGGGUAACGGCCCACCAAGGCGACGAUAGAUAGCCGGCCUGAGAGGGUGAACGGCCACAAGGGGACUGAGACACGGCCCUUACUCCUACGGGAGGCAGCAGUGGGGAAUAUUGGACAAUGGGCCACAAGCCUGAUCCAGCAAUUCUGUGUGCACGAUGAAGGUCUUCGGAUUGUAAAGUGCUUUCAGUUGGGAAGAAGAAAGUGACGGUACCAACAGAAGAAGCGACGGCUAAAUACGUGCCAGCAGCCGCGGUAAUACGUAUGUCGCAAGCGUUAUCCGGAUUUAUUGNGCGUAAAGCGCGUCUAGGCGGAAAAAUAAGUCUGAUGUUAAAAUGCGGGGCUCAACUCCGUAUUGCGUUGGAAACUGUUUUUCUAGAGUACUGGAGAGGUGGGCGGAACUACAAGUGUANAGGUGAAAUUC
rnacentral:rRNA from 1 species